CCUACGGGAGGCAGCAGUGGGGAAUAUUGGGCAAUGGGCGCAAGCCUGACCCAGCAACGCCGCGUGAAGGAAGAAGGCUUUCGGGUUGUAAACUUCUUUUCUCAGGGACGAAGAAAGUGACGGUACCUGAGGACUAAGCCACGGCUAACUACGUGCCAGCAGCCGCGGUAAUACGUAGGUGGCAAGCGUUAUCCGGAUUUACUGGGUGUAAAGGGCGUGUAGGCGGGGAAGCAAGUCAGAUGUGAAAACCACGGGCUCAACCGGGGGCCUGCAUUUGAAACUGUUUUUCUUGAGUACUGGAGAGGCAGACGGAAUUCCUAGUGUAGCGGUGAAAUGCGUAGAUAUUAGGAGGAACACCAGUGGCGAAGGCGGUCUGCUGGACAGCAACUGACGCUGAGGCGCGAAAGCGUGGGGAGCAAACAGGAUUAGAUACCCUUGUAGUC
rnacentral:rRNA from 1 species